rnacentral:lncRNA from 1 species
UUUUUUUUUGUAGCGAGAUCAAUGUAAAGAAUGAGAAAGAUAAGGACCUGGAUUUUUCCCAGCACAUUGCCCGCGCAACGCAUAUCUCUUCCACACAUCUAGCAUAGACAUAUUCGGAAAGACAAUUUCUUUUUCUUCAAGGAGUAGGAGAAGAAGGAAGGUACAUUCUUACAAAAGCAGGAGGAGGGAACACGAGUUGAAGAAGAAGGAAGGUACAAGCCCUUCUUGAAAGUGAAGGCGGGGAUUGAUUGAGACCGGAAUAGGGUAGACAACAAAUUAAAAUAGACUUAGAGAAGCAUGAAGCGUACGAUGACAGCUCGAGAAGGCAAAAGAUUUCAGCGGAGGAUUUGUUAGACUUGUAGUUAAACAUAAAUGCCUAUUAUAACUUGUAUACAAUUGUAUUUGUACUCAAAGAGGUUUUCCCCCAUAUAUAUAUAUAUUGUCGUGGCCGACCCAUGGGUGUCGAAGUCCACAAUACCCCAAAACCUUUUGCUUAACAUGGUAUCAGAUACGAUUGUUUCGAUCCUGACCUAAUCGCUACGUCGCCGCCGCCCGACCUAGUCGCUACGUCGCCGCCGCCGCCUAUGUCGUCUUCCGCUGCUGAUUCUUCGGCGGCCGCCGCCGCGGCUCUCUCCGGCGCGGAUACUAUUGCUGCUCUCACCGGCGCAGCCACCCUACCUGCCGCCGCCAUCGAGCUCUCCGCCCUGCCUGCGCUCGGUAAUCCCAUCGGAUCGGGCGCGCCCGUCCUCGGUCCGCCGGCUCAUGUGACGCCGUUCCUGUCUACUCUCCUUCAAGGAGGACCUGCAUCUACUCCGCUGAUGACCAGAUCGACGGGGGCCCUGUUCUCCGGGUCUACUUCUUCGGCCCCUCAAGGAUCGCCGGCGUUGCACCCCAACUAUGCCACGCUGGCGCCCUACGCACCGCCGCCGUACGCGCCUGAUCCUGCUACCUAUGAUGCGUUCUACGGUGCUCCUUACGGUGCCCCCUACGGCAUGUCCUACGACGCCCCCUAUGGCAUUCACUAUGGCGCUGGACAUGGUGCCCCUCAUGGUGGAGGCUAUGGUGCUCUGUACGGCUCCGGCUACCCGGCGAUCCCGUGGCCUGCUCCUUAUGGCGCGUCACCGUCUCCUCCACCACCGGUUCCUCCAGCAGCACCGCAGUCUUCGCCCGCGGUGGAUGCCGCCCUGUCUGGUGCUGCCGCUGUACCACCCUACGACUUUGCCCUCAAUGUCAUCACAACUCAGCCGUUCUACUUCAACAACCUCCUCCCGGUGAAACUAAAGAUGGACAACUAUUUGUUCUGGCGUGCACAGAUCCUUCCUCUCCUUCGCAACCAUUAUCUGGAGGGCUUUGUGGAUGGAACCUUGCCAUGCCCUUCCCCAGAUCAUCAUAUGUUCCGACCAUGGAUUGCUCAAGAUCAAGCAAUUCUCUCGUCGAUACAGUCCUCUCUCACCGAGGGCGUUUCCGGCUUGAUACUGUUUGCUACUACAUCCCAUGAGGUAUGGAGCAUGCUGGAUUCUAGCUUCUCUGCUCAGUCCUCGUCUCAGCAUAUGGCCCUUCAUACCCAGCUUAAUGAGACUCGUAAGGAUCAUCACUCCGUCACCGUCUUCUUCAACAAAAUCAAGCACCUUGCUAAUCAACUUGCCUCUAUUGGCGAGCCCCUUCGUGACACGGAGUUUACCAUGUAUAUUCUUCAAGGUCUCGAUGCCGAGUGUGACUCUCUUGUUGAGGUGAUCCAGGAACGCAAGGUUCCCAUCAAACCGUAGGAGCUCUUUCAACGACUUCUCUCCACAGAGCAGCGCCUCGCUAGUCGUCAUCCAGAUGAGCCGCCCUCGGUCAACGCCGCUGUUCGCGGUGGGAAGGGGGGUGCUCGUUCCGGCGCCCGCUCUGCUGCUCCACCGGCUGCUUCGCCCCCCCCCUGCGGGAGGCAAGGGUCCUGUCUCUCCUGCUGCAUCUACUCAGUCGCGUCCCACCAUCGUCAUCGAGAACGGGCGCCCAUGUGCUUGUUGUGCCGCUUGUGGAGCUGCUGCCCCUUGUCAGCUAUGUUGCAUCCCUCGCCAUGUUGCGUCUCGCUGUCAUCAUUGUUUCCAGCCUGAGUUUCUUGGACUUGGCAACAACGGCAAGGGCAAUGAGCGUCAAGUCAACAUGACACAACAUCAAGGGAAGACUGAAGGAAAUAUGCCCUAGAGGCAAUAAUAAUGUUAUUAUUUUAUUUCCUUAUAUCAUUAUAAAUGUUUAUUAUUCAUGCUAGAAUUGUAUUAUCCGGAAACAUAAUACUUGUGUGAAUACAUAGACAAACCAAACGUCACUAGUAUGCCUCUACUUGACUAGCUCGUUAAUCGAAGAUGGUUAUGUUUCCUAACCAUAGACAUGUGUUGUCAUUUGAUUAAUGGGAUCACAUCAUUAGGAGAAUGAUGUGAUUGACAUGACCCAUUCCAUUAGCUUAGCACCCGAUCAUUUAGUAUGUUGCUAUUGCUUUCUUCAUGACUUAUACAUGUUCCUAUGACUAUGAGAUUAUGCAACUCCCGUUUACCGGAGGAACACUUUGUGUGCUACCAAACGUCACAACGUAACUGGGUGAUUAUAAAGGAGCUCUACAGGUGUCUCCAAAGGUGAAUGUUGGGUUGGCGUAUUUUGAGAUUAGGAUUUGUCACUCCAAUUGUCGGAGAGGUAUCUCUGGGCCCUCUCGGUAAUGCACAUCACAUAAGCCUUGCAAGCAUUACAACUAAUGAGUUAGUUGCAAUAUGAUGUAUUACGAAAUGAGUAAAGAGACUUGCCGGUAACGAGAUUGAACUAGGUAUUGAGAUACCGACGACCGAAUCUCGGGCAAGUAACAUACCGAUGACAAAGGGAACAAGGUAUGUUGUUAUGCGGUCUGACUGAUAAAGAUCUUCGUAGAAUAUGUAGGAGCCAAUAUGAGCAUCCAGGUUCCGCUAUUGGUUAUUGACCGGAGACGUGUCUCGGUCAUGUCUACAUUGUUCUCGAACCCGUAGGGUCCGCACGCUUAAGGUUUCGAUGACAGUUAUAUUAUGAGUUUAUGAGUUUUGAUGUACCGAAGUUAGUUCGGAGUCCCGGAUGUGAUCACGGACAUGACGAGGAGUCUCGAAAUGGUCGAGACAUAAAGAUUGAUAUAUUGGACGGCUAUAUUCGGACACCGGAAGUGUUCCGGGUGAUUGCGGAGAAAACCGGAGAGCCGGAGGGUUACCGGAACCCCCCAGGAGAAGUAAUGGGCCAUAUGGGCCUUAGUGGAGAGAGAGAGGGGCAGGCAAAGGUGGGCCGCACGCCUCCUCCCCCCUGGUCCGAAUUGGAGUUGGAGAGGGGGGCGGCGCCCCCCUUUCCUUCUCCCUCCCCACUUCUUUCCCCCUCCUAGUAGGAGUCCUACUCCUACUAGGAGGAGGAUUCCUCCUUGGCGCGCCAUAGAGGCCGGCCGGCCUCCUCCCCUUGAUCCUUUAUAUACAGGGGCAGGGGGCACCCCUAGACACACAAGUUGAUCCACGUGAUCAUAUUCUUAGCCGUGUGCGGUGCCCCCUUCCAUCAUAAUCCUCGAUAAUAUUGUAGCGGUGCUUAGGCGAAGCCCUGCGACGGUAGUACAUCAAGAUCGUCACCACGCCGUCGUGCUGACGGAACUCUUCCCCGACACUUUGCUGGAUCGGAGUCUGGGGAUCGUCAUCGAGCUGAACGUGUGCUAGAACUCGGAGGUGCCGUAGUUUCGGUGCUUGAUCGGUUGGGCCGUGAAGACAUACGACUACAUCAACCACGUUGUGCUAACGCUUCUGCUGUCGGUCUACAAGGGUACGUAGAUCACACUCUUCCCUCGUUGCUAUGCAUCACCAUGAUCUUGUGUGUGCGUAGGAUUUUUUUUGAAAUUACUACGUUCCUCGAUAGUGGCAUCCGAGCCUAUGUUUUAUGUGUUGAUGUUAUAUGCACGAGUAGAACACAAGUGAGUUGUGGGUGAUAUAAGUCAUACUGCUUACUAGCAUGUCAUACUUUGGUUCGGCGGUAUUGUUGGACGAAGCGGCCCGGACCAACAUUACGCGUACGCUUACGCGAGACCGGUUCUCCUGACGUGCUUUGCACAAAGGUGGCUAGCGGGUGACAGUUUCUCCAACUUUAGUUGAACCGAGUGUGGCUACGCCCGGUCCCUGCGAAGGUUAAAACAGCACCAACUUGACAAACUAUCGUUGUGGGUUUGAUGCGUAGGUAAGAUUGGUUCUUGCUUAAGCCCGUAGCAGCCACGUAAAACUUGCAACAACAAAGUAGAGGACGUCUAACUUGUUUUUGCAGGGCAUGUUGUGAUGUGAUAUGGUCAAGACAUGAUGCUAAAUUUUAUUGUAUGAGAUGAUCAUGUUUUGUAACCAAGUUAUCGGCAACUGGCAGGAGCCAUAUGGUUGUCGCUUUAUUGUAUGCAAUGCAAUUGCGCUGUAAUGCUUUACUUUAUCACUAAACGGUAGCGAUAGUCGUGGAAGCAUAAAAUUGGCGAGACGACAACGAUGCUACGAUGGUGAUCAAGGUGUCGCGCCGGUGACGAUGGUGAUCACGACGGUGCUUCGAAGAUGGAGAUCACAAGCACAAGAUGAUGAUGGCCAUAUCAUAUCACUUAUAUUGAUUGCAUGUGAUGUUUAUCUUUUAUGCAUCUUAUCUUGGUUUGAUUGACGGUAGCAUUUUAAGAUGAUCUCUCACUAAUUAUCAAGAAGUGUUCUCCCUGAGUAUGCACUGUUGCGAAAGUUCUUCGUGCUGAGACACCACGUGAUGAUCAGGUGUGAUAGGCUCUACGUUCAAAUACAAUGGGUGCAAAACAGUUGCACACGCAGAAUACUCAGGUUAUACUUGACGAGCCAAGCAUAUACAGAUAUGGCCUCGGAACAUAGAGACCGAAAGGUCGAGCGUGAAUCAUAUAGUAGAUAUGAUCAACAUAGGGAUGUUCACCAAUGAAACUGCUCCAUCUCACGUGAUGAUCGGACAUGGUUUAGUUGAUUUGGAUUACGUAAUCACUUAGAGGAUUAGAGAGAUGUCUGUCUAUGUGGGAGUUCUUUAGUAAUAUGAUUAAUUGAACCUAAAUUUAUCAUGAACUUAGUACCUGAUAGUAUCUUACUUGUUUAUGUUUGAUUGUAGAUAGAUGGCCCGUGCUGUUGUUCCAUUGAAUUUUAAUGCGUUCCUUGAGAAAGCAAAGUUGAAAGAUGAUGGUAGCAAUUACACGGACUGGGUCUGUAACUUGAGGAUUAUCCUCAUUGCUGCACAGAAGAAUUACGUCCUGGAAGCACCGCUGGGUGCCAGGCCUGCUGCUGGAGCAAGACCAGAUGUUAUAAACGUCUAGCAGAGCAAAGCUGAUGACUACUCGAUAGUUCAAUGUGCCAUGCUUUACGGCUUAGAAUCGGGACUUCAACGACGUUUUGAACGUCAUGGAGCAUAUGAGAUGUUCCAGGAGUUGAAGUUAAUAUUUCAAGCAAAUGCCCAGAUUGAGAGAUAUGAAGUCUCCAAUAAGUUCUAUAGCUGCAAGAUGGAAGAGAACAGUUCUGUCAGUGAGCAUAUACUCAAAAUGUCUGGGUAUAAUAAUCACUUGAUUCAAUUGGAAGUUAAUCUUCCACAUGAUUGCGUCAUUGACAGAAUUCUCCAAUCACUACCACCAAGCUACAAGAGCUUCGUGAUGAACUAUAAUAUGCAAGGGAUGAAUAAGACUAUUCCCGAGCUCUUCGCAAUGCUGAAAGUUGCGGAGGUAGAAAUCAAGAAGGAGCAUCAAGUGUUGAUGGUCAACAAGACCACUAGUUUCAAGAAAAAGGGCAAAGGGAAGAAGAAGGAGAACUUCAAAAAGAACAGCAAGCAAGUUGCUACUCAAGAGAAGAAACCCAAACCUGGACCUAAGCCUGAAACAGAGUGCUUCUGCUGCAAGCAGACUGGUCACUGCAAGCGGAACUGCCCCAAGUAUUUGGCGGAUAAGAAGGAUGGCAAGGUGAACAAAGGUAUAUGUGAUAUACAUGUUAUUGAUGUGUACCUUACUAAUGCUCGCAGUAGCACCUGGGUAUUUGAUACUGGUUCUGUUGCUAAUAUUUGCAACUCGAAACAGGGACUACGGAUUAAGCGAAGAUUGGCUAAGGACGAGGUGACGAUGCGCGUAGGAAAUGGUUCCAAAGUCGAUGUGAUCGCAGUCGGCACGCUACCUUUACAUCUACCUUCGGGAUUAGUAUUAGACCUAAAUAAUUGUUAUUUGGUGCCAGCGUUAAGCAUGAACAUUAUAUCUGGAUCUUGUUUGAUGCGAGACGGUUAUUCAUUUAAAUCAGAGAAUAAUGGCUGUUCUAUUUAUAUGAGUAAUAUCUUUUAUGGUCAUGCACCCUUAAAGAGUGGUCUAUUCUUAUUAAAUCUCGAUAGUAGUGACACACAUAUUCAUAGUGUUGAAGCCAAAAGAUGCAGAGUUGAUAAUGAUAGUGCAACUUAUUUGUGGCACUGCCGUUUGGGUCAUAUCGGUGUAAAGCGCAUGAAGAAACUCCAUACUGAUGGGCUUUUGGAACCACUUGAUUAUGAAUCACUUGGUACUUGUGAACCGUGCCUUAUGGGUAAGAUGACAAAAACAUCGUUCUCCGGUACUAUGGAGAGAGCAACAGAUUUGUUGGAAAUCAUACAUACAGAUGUAUGUGGUCCGAUGAAUGUUGAGGCUCGUGGCGGAUAUCGUUAUUUUCUCACCUUCAUAGAUGACUUAAGCAAAUAUGGGUAUAUCUACUUAAUGAAACAUAAGUAUGAAACAUUUGAAAAGUUCAAAGAAUUUCAGAGUGAAGUUUAAAAUCAUCGUAACAAGAAAAUAAAAUUCCUACGAUCUGAUCGUGGAGGAGAAUAUUUGAGUUACGAGUUUGGUGUACAUUUGAAACAAUGUGUAAUAGUUUCGCAACUCACGCCACCCGGAACACCACAGCGUAAUGGUGUGUCCGAACGUUGUAAUCGUACUUUACUAGAUAUGGUGCGAUCUAUGAUGUCUCUUACUGAUUUACCGCUAUCGUUUUGGGGAUAUGCUCUAGAGACGGCCGCAUUCACGUUAAAUAGGGCACCAUCAAAAUCCAUUGAGACGACGCCUUAUGAACUGUGGUUUGGCAAGAAACCAAAGUUGUCGUUUCUGAAAGUUUGGGGCUGCGAUGCUUAUGUGAAAAAUCUUCAACCUGAUAAGCUCGAACCUAAAUCGGAGAAAUGUGUCUUCAUAGGAUAUCCAAAGGAAACUAUUGGAUACACCUUCUAUCACAGAUCCGAACGCAAGACUUUUGUUGCUAAAUUCGGGAACUUUCUGGAGAAGGAGUUUAUCUCGAAAGAAGUGAGUGGGAGGAAAGUAGAACCUGACGAGGUAACUGUACCUGCUCCCUUAUUGGAAAGUAGUACAUCACAGAAACCUGUUUCUGUGACACCUACACCAAUUAGUGAGGAAGCUAAUGAUAAUGAUCGUGAAACUUCAGAACAAGAUACUACUGAACCUCGUAGAUCAACCAGAGUAAGAUCCGCGCCAGAGUGGUAUGGUAAUCCUGUUCUGGAAGUCAUGCUACUAAAUCAUGAUGAACCUACGAACUAUGAAGAAGCGAUGGUGAGCCCAGAUUCCGCAAAAUGGCUUGAAGACAUGAAAUCUGAGAUGGGAUCCAUGUAUGCGAACAAAGUAUGGACUUUGGUUGACUUGCCCAAUGAUCAGCAAGCAAUUGAGAAUAAAUGGAUCUUCAAGAAGAAGACUGACGCUGACGGUAAUAUUAUUGUCUACAAAGCUCAACUUAUCGCAAAAGGUUUUCGGCAAGUUCAAGGGAUUGACUACGAUGAGACCUUCUCACCCGUAGCGAUGCUUAAGUCUGUCCGAAUCAUGUUAGCAAUUGCCGCAUUUUAUGAUUAUGAAAUUUGGCAAAUGGAUGUGAAAACUGCAUUCCUGAAUGGAUUUCUGCAAGAAGAGUUGUAUAUGAUGCAGCCGGAAGGUUUUGUCGAUCCAAAAGGAGCUAACAAAGUGUGCAAGCUCCAGCGAUCCAUUUAUGGACGGGUGCAAGCCCCUCGGAGUUGGAAUAAACACUUUGAUAGUGUGAUCAAAGCAUCUGUUGGGGAACGCAGUAAUUUCAAAAAAUUUCCUACGCACACGCAAGAUCAUGGUGAUGCAUAGCAACGAGAGGGGAGAGUGUUGUCUAUGUACCCACGCAGACCGACUGCGGAAGCGUUGACGCAAUAUAGAGGAAGUAGUCGUACGUCUUCCCGAUCCGACCGAUCCAAGUACCGUUACUCCGGCACCUCCGAGUUCUUAGCACACGUACAGCUCGAUGACGAUCCCCGGGUUCCGAUCCAGCAAAGCGUCGGGGAGGAGUUCCGUCAGCACGACGGCAUGGUGACGAUCUUGAUGUUCUAUCGUCGCAGGGCUUCGCCUAAGCACCGCUACAAUAUGAUUGAGGUGGAAUAUGGUGGCAGGGGGCACCGCACACGGCUAAGGAACGAUCUCAAUGAUCAACUUGUGUGUUAGGGUGCCCCCCUGCCUCCGUAUAUAAAGGAGCCAAGGGGGAGGGGGCGGCCGGCCAAGGAGGGCGCGCCAAGGGAGUCCUACUCCCUCUGGGAGUAGGAUUCCCCCCCUCCCAAUCCUAGUUGGAAUAGGAUUCCUCGAGGGGGGGGGGGGGAAGAGAGAGAGGGGACCGGCCACCUCUCCUUGUCCUAAUAGGACUAGGGGAGGGGGGAGGCGCGCGGCCACCUUGGGCUGCCCCUUUCUCCUUUCCACUAAAGCCCACUAAGGCCCAUAUAGUUCCGGGGGGGUUCCGGUAACCUCCCGGUACUCCGGUAAAAUCCCGAUUUCACCCGGAACACUUCCGAUAUCCAAACAUAGGCUUCCAAUAUAUCAAUCUUUAUGUCUCGACCAUUUUGAGACUCCUCGUCAUGUCCAUGAUCACAUCCGGGACUCCAAACAAUCUUCGGUACAUCAAAAUGCAUAAACUCAUAAUAACUAUCAUCAUAACGUUAAGCGUGCGGACCCUACGGUUCGAGAACAAUGUAGACAUGACCGAGACACGUCUCCGGUCAAUAACCAAUAGCGGGACCUGGAUGCCCAUAUUGGCUCCUACAUAUUCUACGAAGAUCUUUAUCGGUCAGACCGCAUAACAACAUACGUUGUUCCCUUUGUCAUUGAUAUGUUACUUGCCCGAGAUUCGAUCGUCGGUAUCCAAUACCUAGUUCAAUCUCGUUACUGGCAAGUCUCUUUACUCGUUCCGUAAUACAUCAUCCCGCAACUAACUCAUUAGUUGCAAUGCUUGCAAGGCUUAUGUGAUGUGCAUUACCGAGAGGGCCCAGAGAUACCUCUCCGACAAUCGGAGUGACAAAUCCUAUUCUCGAAAUACGCCAACCCAACAUCUACCAUUGGAGACACCUGUAGAGCUCCUUUAUAAUCACCCAGUUACGUUGUGACGUUUGGUAGCACACAAAGUGUUCCUCCGGCAAACGGGAGUUGCAUAAUCUCAUAGUCAUAGGAACAUGUAUAAGUCAUGAAGAAAGCAAUAGCAACAUACUAAACGAUCGGGUGCUAAGCUAAUGGAAUGGGUCAUGUCAAUCAGAUCAUUCAACUAAUGAUGUGACCUCGUUAAUCAAAUAACAAUACUUUGUUCAUGGUUUGGAAACAUAACCAUCUUUGAUUAACGAGCUAGUCAAGUAGAGGCAUACUAGUGACACUAAGUUUGUCUAUGUAUUCACACAUGUAUUAUGUUUCCGGUUAAUACAAUUCUUGCAUGAAUAAUAAAUAUUUAUCAUGAUAUAAGGAAAUAAAUAAUAACUUUAUUAUUGCCUCUAGGGCAUAUUUCCUUCAGUCUCCCACUUGCACUAGAGUCAAUAAUCUAGAUUACACAGUAAUGAUUCUAACACCCAUGGAGCCUUGGUGCUGAUCAUGUUUUGCUCGUGGAAGAGGCUUAGUAAAUGGGUCUGCAACAUUCAGAUCCGUAUGUAUCUUGCAAAUCUCUAUGUCUCCCACCUGGACUAGAUCCCGGAUGGAAUUGAAGCAUCUCUUGAUGUGCUUGGUCCUCUUGUGAAAUCUGGAUUCCUUUUCCAAAGCAAUUGCACCAGUAUUAUCACAAAAGAUUUUCAUUGGACCCGAUGCACUAGGUAUGACACCUAGAUCGGAUAUGAACUCCUUCAUCCAGACUCCUUCGUUCGCUGCUUCCGAAGCAGCUAUGUAUUCCUCUUCACAUGUAGAUCCCGCUACGACGCUUUGUUUAGAACUGUACCAACUGACAGCUCCACCGUUUAAUGUAAACACAUAUCAUGUUUGCGAUUUAGAAUCGUCCGGAUCAGUGUCUAAGCUCGCAUCAACGUAACCUUUUACGAUGAGCUCUUUGUCACCUCCAUAUACGAGAAACAUAUCCUUAGUCCUUUUUAGGUAUUUCAGGAUGUUCUUGACCGCUGUCCGGUGAUCCACUCCUGGAUUACUUUGGUACCUCCCUGCUAAACUUAUAGCAAGGCACACAUCAGGUCUGGUACACAGCAUUGCAUACAUGAUAGAGCCUAUGGCUGAAGCAUAGGGAACAUCUUUCAUUUUCUCUCUAUCUUCUGCAGUGGUCGGGCAUUGAGUCUUACUCAACUUCACACCUUGUAACACAGGCAAGAACCCUUUCUUUGCUUGAUCCAUUUUGAACUUCUUCAAAACUUUGUCAAGGUAUGUGCUUUGUGAAAGUCCAAUUAAGCGUCUUGAUCUAUCUCUAUAGAUCUUAAUGCCUAAUAUGUAAGCAGCUUCACCGAGGUCUUUCAUUGAAAAACUUUUAUUCAAGUAUCCCUUUAUGCUAUCCAGAAAUUCUAUAUCAUUUCCAAUUAGUAAUAUGUCAUCCACAUAUAAUAUCAGAAAUGCUACAGAGCUCCCACUCACUUUCUUGUAAAUACAGGCUUCUCCAAAAGUCUGUAUAAAACCAAAUGCUUUGAUCACACUAUCAAAGCGUUUAUUCCAACUCCGAGAGGCUUGCACCAGUCCAUAAAUGGAUCGCUGGAGCUUGCACACUUUGUUAGCUCCCUUUGGAUCAACAAAACCUUCUGGUUGCAUCAUAUACAACUCUUCUUCUAGAAAUCCAUUCAGGAAUGCAGUUUUGACAUCCAUCUGCCAAAUUUCAUAAUCAUAAAAUGCGGCAAUUGCUAACAUGAUUCGGACAGACUUAAGCAUCACUACGGGUGAGAAGGUCUUAUCGUAGUCAAUCCCUUGAACUUGUCGAAAACCUUUUGCGACAAGUCAAGCUUUGUAGACAGUAACAUUACCAUCAACGUCAGUCUUCUUCUUGAAGAUCCAUUUAUUCUCAAUUGCUUGCCGAUCAUCGGGCAAGUCAACCAAAGUCCAUACUUUGUUUUCAUACAUGGAUCCCAUCUCAGAUUUCAUGGCUUCAAGCCAUUUUGUGGAAUCUGGGCUCACCAUCGCUUCUUCAUAGUUCGUAGGUUCAUCAUGAUCUAGUAGCAUGACUUCCAGAACAGGAUUACCAUACCACACUGGUGCGGAUCUCACUCUGGUUGAUCUACGAGGUUCAGUAGUAUCUUGAUCUAAAGUUUCAUGAUCAUCAUCAUUAGCUUCCUCACUAACUGGUGUAGGUGUCACUGAAACAGUUUUCUGUGAUGUACUACUUUCCAAUAAGGGAGCAGGUACAGUUACCUCGUCAAGUUCUACUUUCCUCCCACUCACUUCUUUCGAGAGAAACUCCUUCUCUAGAAAGGAUCCAUUCUUAGCAAUGAAUGUCUUGCCUUUGGAUCUGUGAUAGAAGGUGUACCCAACAGUCUCCUUUGGGUAUCCUAUGAAGACACAUUAUUCCGAUUUGGGUUCGAGCUUAUCAGGUUGAAGCUUUUUCACAUAAGCAUCGCAGCCCCAAACUUUAAGAAACGACAACUUUGGUUUCUUGCCAAUCCACAGUUCAUAAGGCGUUGUCUUAACGGAUUUUGAUGGUGCCCUAUUUAACAUGAAUGCGACCGUCUCUAAAGCAUAACCCCAAAACGAUAGCGGUAAAACAGUAAGAGACAUCAUAGAUCACACCAUAUCUAGUAAAGUACGAUUACGACGUUCGGAAACACCAUUGCGUUGUGGUGUUCCGGGUGGCGUGAGUUGCGAAACUAUUCCACAAUUUUUCAAAUGUACACCAAACUCGUAACUCAAAUAUUCUCCUCUACGAUCAGAUCGUAGAAACUUUAUUUUUCUUGUUACGAUGAUUUUCAACUUCACUCUGAAAUUCUUUGAACUUUUCAAAUGUUUCAGACUUAUGUUUCAUUAAGUAGAUAUACCCAUAUCUGCUUAAAUCAUCUGUGAAGGUGAGAAAAUAACGAUAUCCGCCACGAGCCUCAAUAUUCAUCGGACCACAUACAUCUGUAUGUAUGAUUUCCAACAAAUCUGUUGCUCUCUCCAUAGUACCGGAGAACGGUGUUUUAGUCAUCUUGCCCAUGAGGCACGGUUCGCAAGUACCAAGUGAUUCAUAAUCAAGUGGUUCCAAAAGCCCAUCAGCAUGGAGUUUCUUCAUGCGUUUUACACCGAUAUGACCUAAACGGCAGUGCCACAAAUAAGUUGCACUAUCAUUAUCAACUCUGCAUCUUUUGGCUUCAACAUUAUGGAUAUGUGUAUUACUACUAUCGAGAUUCAUCAAAAAUAGACCACUCUUCAAAGGUGCAUGACCAUAAAAGAUAUUACUCAUAUAAAUAGAACAACCAUUAUUCUCUGAUUUAAAUGAAUAACCGUCUCGCAUCAACCAAGAUCCAGAUAUAAUGUUCAUGCUCAACGCAGGCACCAAAUAACAAUUAUUUAGGUCUAAUACUAAUCCCGAAGGUAGAUGUAGAGGUAGCGUGCCGAUCGCGAUCACAUCGACUUUGGAACCAUUUCCCACGCGCAUCGUCACCUUGUCCUUUGCCAGUGUUCGCUUAAUCCGUAGUCCCUGUUUCGAGUUGCAAAUAUUAGCAACAGAACCAGUAUCAAAUACCCAGGUGCUACUGCGAGCUCUAGUAAGGUACACAUCAAUAACAUGUAUAUCACAUAUACCUUUGUUCACCUUGCCAUCCUUCUUAUCCGCCAAAUACUUGGGGCAGUUCCGCUUCCAGUGACCAGUCUGCUUGCAGUAGAAGCACUCAGUUUCAGGCUUAGGUCCAGACUUGGGUUUCUUCUCCUGAGCAGCAACUUGCUUGCCGUUCUUCUUGAAGUUCCCCUUCUUCUUCCCUUUGCCCUUCUUCUUGAAACUAGUGGUCUUGUUAACCAUCAAUACUUGAUGCUCCUUCUUGAUUUCUACCUCCGCGGCUUUCAGCAUUGCGAAGAGCUCGGGAAUAGUCUUAUUCAUCCCUUGCAUAUUAUAGUUCAUCACGAAGCUCUUGUAGCUUGGUGGCAGUGAUUGGAGAAUUCUGUCAAUGACGCAAUCAUCUGGAAGAUUAACUCCCAUCUGAAUCAAGUGAUUAUUAUACCCAGACAUUUUGAGUAUAUGCUCACUGACAGAACUGUUCUCCUCCAUCUUGCAGCUAUAGAACUUAUUGGAGACUUCAUAUCUCUCAAUCCGGGCAUUUGCUUGAAAUAUUAACUUCAACUCCUGGAACAUCUCAUAUGCUCCAUGACGUUCAAAACGUUGUUGAAGUCCCGAUUCUAAGCCGUAAAGCAUGGCACACUGAACUAUCGAGUAGUCAUCAGCUUUGCUCUGCCAGACGUUCAUAACAUCUGGUGUUGCUCCAGCAGCAGGCCUGGCACCUAGCGGUGCUUCCAGGACGUAAUUCUUCUGAGCAGCAAUGAGGAUAAUCCUCAAGUUACGGACCCAGUCCAUGUAAUUGCUACCAUCAUCUUUCAACUUUGCUUUCUCAAGGAACGCAUUAAAAUUCAACGGAACAACAACACGAGCCAUCUAUCUACAAUUAACAUAAACAAGCAAGAUACUAUCAGGUACUAAGUUCAUGAUAAGUUUAAGUUCAAUUAAUCAAAUUACUUAAGAACUCCCACUUAGAUAGACAUCCCUCUAAUCCUCUAAGUGAUCACGUGAUCCAAAUCAACUAAACCAUAACCGAUCAUCACGUGAGAUGGAGUAGUUAUCAAUGGUGAACAUCGUUAUGUUGAUCAUAUCUACUAUAUGAUUCACGCUCGACCUUUCGGUCUCCGUAUUCCGAGGCCAUAUCUGCAUAUGCUAGGCUCGUCAAGUUUAACCUGAGUAUUCUGCGUGUGCAAAAACUGGCUUGCACCCGUUGUAGAUGGACGUAGAGCUUAUCACACCCGAUCAUCACGUGGUGUCUGGGCACGACGAACUUUGACAACGGUGCAUACUCAGGGAGAACACUUCUUGAUAAUUUAGUGAGAGAUCAUCUUAUAAUGCUACCGUCAAUCAAAGCAAGAUAAGAUGCAUAAAAGAUAAACAUCACAUGCAAUCAAUAUAAGUGAUAUGAUAUGGCCAUCAUUGUCUUGUACCUGUGAUCUCCAUCUCCGAAGCACCGUCAUGAUCGCCAUCGUCACCGGCGCGACACCUUGAUCUCCAUCGUAGCAUCGUUGUCGUCUCGCCAAUCUUAUGCUUCUACGACUAUCGCUACCGUUUAGUGAUAAAGUAAAGCAUUACAUCGCGAUUUCAUUGCAUACAAUAAAGCGACAACCAUAUGGCUCCUGCCAGUUGCCGAUAACUCGGUUACAAAACAUGAUCAUCUCAUACAAUAAAAUUCAUCAUCAUGCCUUGACCAUAUCACAUCACAACAUGCCCUGCAAAAACAAGUUAGACGUCCUCUAUUUUGUUGUUGCAAGUUUUACGUGGCUGCUACGGGCUUAAGCAAGAACCAAUCUCACCUACGCAUCAAAACCACAACGAUAGUUUGUCAAUUUGACUCCGUUUUAACCUUCGCAAGGACCGAGCGUAGCCAUACUCGGUUCAACUAAAGUUGGAGAGACAGUCGCCCGCAAGCCACCUAUGUGCAAAGCACGUCGGGGGAACCGGUCUCGCGUAAGCGUACGCGUAAUGUUGGUCCGGGUCGUCUCGUCUAACAAUACCACUGAACCAAAGUAUGACAUGCUGGUAGGCAGUAUGACUUAUAUCGCCCACAACUCACUUGUGUUCUACUCGUGCAUAUAAAAUCAACAUAUAAAACCUAGGCUCGGAUGCCACUGUUGGGGAACGCAGUAAUUUCAAAAAAAUUCCUACACACACGCAAGAUCAUGGUGAUGCAUAGCAACGAGAGGGGAGAGUGUUGUCUACGUACCCACGCAGACCGACUGCGGAAGCGUUGACGCAACAUAGAGGAAGUAGUCGUACGUCUUCCCGAUCCGACCGAUCCAAGUACCGUUACUCCGGCACCUCCGAGUUCUUAGCACACGUACAGCUCGAUGAUGAUCCCCGGGCUCCGAUCCAGCAAAGCGUCGGGGAGGAGUUCCGUCAGCACGAUGGCGUGGUGACGAUCUUGAUGUUCUACCAUCGCAGGGCUUUGCCUAAGCACCGCUACAAUAUGAUUGAGGUGGAAUAUGGUGGCAGGGGGCACCGCACACGGCUAAGGAACGAUCUCAAUGAUCAACUUGUGUGUUAGGGUGCCCCCCUGCCUCUGUAUAUAAAGGAGCCAAGGGGGAGGGGGCGGCCGGCCAAGGAGGGCGCGCCAAGGGAGUCCUACUCCCUCUGGGAGUAGGAUUCCCCCCCAAUCCUAGUUGGAAUAGGAUUCCUCGAGGGGGGGAAAGAGAGAGAGGGGGCCGGCCACCUCUCCUUGUCCUAAUAGGACUAGGGGAGGGGGGAGGCACGCAGCCACCUUGGGCUGCCCCUUUCUCCUUUCCACUAAAGCCCACUAAGGCCCAUAUAGUUCCCGCGGGGUUCCGGUAACCUCCCGGUACUCCAGUAAAAUCCCGAUUUCACCCGGAACACUUCCGAUAUCCAAACAUAGGCUUCCAAUAUAUCAAUCUUUAUGUCUCGACCAUUUUGAGACUCCUCGUCAUGUCCAUGAUCACAUACGGGACUCUGAACAAUCUUCGGUACAUCAAAAUGCAUAAACUCAUAAUAACUGUCAUCGUAAUGUUAAGCGUGCGGACCCUACGGUUCGAGAACAAUGUAGACAUGACCGAGACACGUCUCCGGUCAAUAACCAAUAGCGGGACCUGGAUGCCCAUAUUGGCUCCUACAUAUUCUACGAAGAUCUUUAUCGGUCAUACCGCAUAACAACAUACGUUGUUCCCUUUGUCAUCGAUAUGUUACUUGCCCGAGAUUCGAUCGUCGGUAUCCAAUACCUAGUUCAAUCUCGUUACUGGCAAGUCUCUUUACUCGUUCCGUAAUACAUCAUCCCGCAACUAACUCAUUAGUUGCAAUGCUUGCAAGGCUUAUGUGAUGUGCAUUACCGAGAGGGCCCAGAGAUACCUCUCCGACAAUCGGAGUGACAAAUCCUAUUCUCGAAAUACGCCAACCCAACAUCUACCAUUGGAGACACCUGUAGAGCUCCUUUAUAAUCACCCAGUUAUGUUGUGACAUUUGGUAGCACACAAAGUGUUCCUCUGGCAAACGGGAGUUGCAUAAUCUCAUAGUCAUAGGAACAUGUAUAAGUCAUGAAGAAAGCAAUAGCAACAUACUAAACGACCGGGUGCUAAGCUAAUGGAAUGGGUCAUGUCAAUCAGAUCAUUCAACUAAUGAUGUGACCUCGUUAAUCAAAUAACAAUACUUUGUUCAUGGUUAGGAAACAUAACCAUCUUUGAUUAACGAGCUAGUCAAGUAGAGGCAUACUAGUGACACUAAGUUUGUCUAUGUAUUCACACAUGUAUUAUGUUUCCGGUUAAUACAAUUCUAGCAUGAAUAAUAAACAUUUAUCAUGAUAUAAGGAAAUAAAUAAUAACUUUAUUAUUGCCUCUAGGGCAUAUUUCCUUCAUUUGGUUUUAUACAGACUUUUGGAGAAGCCUGUAUUUACAAGAAAGUGAGUGGGAGCUCUGUAGCAUUUCUGAUAUUAUAUGUAGAUAACAUAUUACUAAUCGGAAAUGAUAUAGGAUUUCUGGAUAGCAUAAAAGGAUACUUGAAUAAAAGUUUUUCAAUGAAAGACCUCGGUGAAGCUGCCUACAUAUUGGGCAUCAAGAUCUAUAGAGACAGAUCGAGACGCUUAAUUGGACUUUCACAAAGCACAUACCUUGACAAAGUUUUGAAAAAGUUCAAAAUGGAUCAAGCAAAGAAAGGAUUCUUGCCUGUGUUACAAGGUGUGAAAUUGAGUAAGACUCAAAGUCCGACCAAUGCAGAAGAUAGAGAGAAAAUGAAAGAUGUUCCCUAUGCUUCAGCCAUAGGCUCUAUCAUGUAUGCAAUGCUGUGUACCAGACCUGAUGUGUGUCUUGCUAUAAGUCUAGCAGGGAGGUACCAAAGUAAUCCAGGAGUGGAUCACUGGACAUCGGUCAAGAACAUCCUGAAAUACCUGAAAAGGACUAAGGAUAUGCUUCUCAUAUAUGGAGGUGACAAAGAGCUCAUCGUAAAUGGUUACGUUGAUGCAAGCUUUGACACUGAUCCGGACGAUUCUUAAUCGCAAACCGGAUACGUGUUUACAUUAAACGGUGGAGCUGUUAGUUGGUGCAGUUCUAAACAAAGCAUUGUGGCGGGAUCUACAUGUGAAGCGGAGUAAAUAGCUGCUUCAGAAGCAGCAAACGAAGGAGUCUGGAUGAAGGAGUUCAUAUCCGAUCUAGGUGUCAUACCUAGUGCAUCGGGUCCAAUGAAUUGUUUUGUGACAAUACUAGUGCAAUUGCCUUGGCAAAGGAAUCCAGAUUUCACAAGAGAACCAAACACAUCAAGAGACGCUUCAAUUCCAUCCAGGAUCUAGUCCAGGUGGGAGACAUACAGAUUUGCAAGAUACAUACAGAUCUGAAUGUAGCAGACCCGUUGACUAAGCAUCUUCCACGAGCAAAACAUGAUCAACACCAAAGCUCCAUGGGUGUUAGAAUCAUUACUGUGUAAUCUAGAUUAUUGACUCUAGUGCAAGUGGGAGACUGAAGGAAAUAUGCCCUAGAGGCAAUAAUAAUGUUAUUAAUUUAUUUCCUUAUAUCAUGAUAAAUGUUUAUUAUUCAUACUAGAAUUGUAUUAUCCGGAAACAUAAUACUUGUGUGAAUACAUAGACAAACCAAACAUCACUAGUAUGCCUCUACUUGACUAGCUCGUUAAUCGAAGAUGGUUAUGUUUCCUAACCAUAGACAUGUGUUGUCAUUUGAUUAAUGGGAUCACAUCAUUAGGAGAAUGAUGUGAUUGACAUGACCCAUUCCAUUAGCUUAGCACCCGAUCGUUUAGUAUGUUGCUAUUGCUUUCUUCAUGACUUAUACAUGUUCCUAUGACUAUGAGAUUAUGCAACUCCCGUUUACCGGAGGAACACUUUGUGUGCUACCAAACGUCACAACGUAACUGGGUGAUUAUAAAGGAGCUCUACAGGUGUCUCCAAAGGUGAAUGUUGGGUUGGCGUAUUUCGAGAUUAGGAUUUGUCACUCCGAUUGUCGGAGAGGUAUCUCUGGGCCCUCUCGGUAAUGCACAUCACAUAAGCCUUGCAAGCAUUACAACUAAUGAGUUAGUUGCAAGAUGAUGUAUUACGAAACGAGUAAAGAGACUUGUCGGUAACAAGAUUGAACUAGGUAUUGAGAUACCGAUGAUCGAAUCUCGGGCAAGUAACAUACCGAUGACAAAGGGAACAACGUAUGUUGUUAUGUGGUCUGACCGAUAAAGAUCUUCGUAGAAUAUGUAGGAGCCAAUAUGAGCAUCCAGGUUCCGCUAUUGGUUAUUGACCGGAGACGUGUCUCGGUCAUGUCUACAUUGUUCUCGAACCCGUAGGGCACGCUUAAGGUUUCGAUGACAGUUAUAUUAUGAGUUUAUGAGUUUUGAUGUACCGAAGUUAGUUCGGAGUCCCGGAUGUGAUCACGGACAUGACGAGGAGUCUCGAAAUGGUCUAUACAUAAAGAUUGAUAUAUUGGACGGCUAUAUUCGGACACCGGAAGUGUUCCGGGUGAUUUCGGAGAAAACCGGAGAGCCGGAGGGUUACCAGAACCCCCCGGGAGAAGUAAUGGGCCAUAUGGGCCUUAGUGGAGAGAGAGAGGGGCAGGCAAAGGUGGGCCGCACGCCUCCUCCCCCCUGGUCCGAAUUAGAGUAGGAAAGGGGCGGGGGCGGCGCCCCCCUUUCCUUCUCCCUCCCCACUAGGAGGAGGACUCCUCCUUGGCGCGCCAUAGAGGCCGGCCGGCCUCCUCCCCUUGAUCCUUUAUAUACGGGGGCAGGGGGCACCCCUAGACACACAAGUUGAUCCACGUGAUCAUAUUCUUAGCCGUGUGCGGUGCCCCCUUCCACCAUAAUCCUCGAUAAUAUUGUAGCGGUGCUUAGGCGAAGCCCUGCGACGGUAGUACAUCAAGAUCGUCACCACGCCGUCGUGCUGACGGAACUCUUCCCCGACACUUUGCUGGAUCGGAGUCCGGGGAUCGUCAUCGAGCUGAACGUGUGCUAGAACUCGGAGGUGCCGUAGUUUCGGUGCUUGAUCGGUCGGGCCGUGAAGACGUACGACUACAUCAACCGCGUUGUGCUAACGCUUCCGCUGUCGGUCUACAAGGGUACGUAGAUCACACUCUUCCCUCGUUGCUAUGCAUCAGCAUGAUCUUGCGUGUGCAUAGGAAUGUUUUUUGAAAUUACUUCGUUCCCCAAUAAAGACUCGGUCUUAUAAUGUUGAUCCCACCUGGUACAUGGACACUGGCGCCACCGAGCAUGUGACUAAUGAAUUGGACAUGCUUGCUAUCUGUGAGGCCUACCAUGGUCCUGACAAGGUUCACACAGCCAAUGGGGCAGGUAUGCACAUCUCUCAUGUUGGCCAGACAUCUCUCCUCACACAUACAUCUAGGCAGUUGCGUCUUAAGAAUGUUCUUCGAGUCCCCACUGUUGCCCGUAACUUGCUAUCCGUUCCUAAACUUACUUAUGACAAUAACGUGUUUUGUGAGUUUCACCCGUUUCAUCUUUUUAUCAAGGAUCGGGCUACGCGGGGCGUACUUCUUAGAGGGCGCCUUCGUCAUGGACUAUAUGCUCUUGAUGUGCCGCGCUCUGUCUCUCCAGCUGUCCCUCAAGUCUUCAGUGCUAUUCGAGUGUCUCCCUCGCAAUGGCACUCUCGUCUUGGUCAUCCUGCCACACCCAUUGUUCGCCAUAUUCUUCAUCGUCAUGAGCUGCGGUCUGUGUCUAGUAAUAAAUAUAUUCCCGUUUGUGAUGCUUGUCAGUAGGGAAAGAGUCAUCAGUUACCUUUUCCUGUUUCUAGUCAUGUAGUCAAAACUCCUCUUGAGCUUGUGUUUUUAGAUGUGUGUGGUCCUGCUCAGAUGUCUGUUAGUGGUCAUGAGUGCCAUGUCAGCUUUAUUGAUGCUUAUAGUCGCUUUACUUCGAUUUAUAUUCUUAAACACAAGUCUGAUGUGUUUGAUGUUUUUCUUAAGUUCCAAACACAUGUUGAGCGUCUCCUCCAACACAAAAUUCUNNNNNNNNNNNNNNNNNNNNNNNNNNNNNNNNNNNNNNNNNNNNNNNNNNNNNNNNNNNNNNNNNNNNNNNNNNNNNNNNNNNNNNNNNNNNNNNNNNNNNNNNNNNNNNNNNNNNNNNNNNNNNNNNNNNNNNNNNNNNNNNNNNNNNNNNNNNNNNNNNNNNNNNNNNNNNNNNNNNNNNNNNNNNNNNNNNNNNNNNNNNNNNNNNNNNNNNNNNNNNNNNNNNNNNNNNNNAGUACCGCAAUCUAAAUACCUUCUUUGAGAAACUUGGGAUUUCUCAUCGUGUGUCUUGCCCUCAUACACAUCAGCAGAACGGUUCAGCUGAACGUAAGUAUCAUCAUCUUGUUGAGACUGGUUUGACCUUAUUAGCCAUGCUUCUGUUCCCUUUCGAUUUUGGAGUGAUGCUUUUACUACCGCCUGUUUUCUUAUAAAUAGGCUUCCGUCGCGGCUUCUUGGCAUGAAAACUCCACAUGAACUCUUGCUUCAUGAGACUCCGGACUACACUUUUCUCAAAUUCUUCGGUUGUGCAUGUUGGCCGCAUCUCCGUCCUUACAAUAGUCGCAAGCUUGAGUUUCGCUCUAAAAAUGUGUCUUCCUUGGGUACAGUCCGUUGCACAAAGAUUAUAAAUGCCUUCAUGUAGCGACCCGACCCGAAUGGAUCAAGUCUCUAUGCUUAUGUGUCAUCCCUAGAUCAGUAUGCUGACACACACAGUACUCGAAGGAUUUAUAACAGAGGUAAAUCACAUGUAUAAGUAACGUAAAUACUAUUACCUCAAUCCAAUAAUAUAGCGGAAGCAACAAGGUUGUGGAUUCCCAUCAACACCAACGGCAGAGUUGAUUAUAGGAAAUCGUAACCCUAACGUAUCACUUACUCGUCGUCUGAAAAGUCUGCAACAUGAAAAGUUGCAGCCCGAAAACGGGUCAGCACAUGGAAUAUGCUGGCAAUGUAACACAUAGAGAGUAAUGAAAGAAUAAGCUAUACUACAUGCAUGUAUGGCUGGUGGAAAGCUCUAUGGUUACAGUUUUGCGAAAAGCCGGUUUUUCCCUACUGCAAAGGAAUACAUUUAUUUAACUAUCAUGAUGGUUGUGAAACAUUGAGAAUGGUUGACAGCAUUCUCAAUCCCAAUUAAAAGUACACAUUAAAAACCAACAAUAUUAAUUAGAGGUAACAUGUUGAGAUUCAACAGGAUAAUCCAGGUACUAGAUACUCAAGAUGUCCAUAACCGGGGACACGGCUAAUCAUGAUUAGUUUGUACACUCUGCAGAGGUUUGCGCACUUUUCCCCACAAGACUCGAUCGCCUCCGUUUGGUUUUUCGCACUACAUGGUGUUUGAGAAACGGAUGACCGAGACACAGUCUUUCAGAAGCGCUAGCACCUUACAUGUGGGUAGACCUGUACACCUACAUCCCCUACAUCUGCUAGCCUACCCGUAAGAGUUCGCACAACUUACUCCACUAUGCCAGAGCCCAUAAUGGCUUGUGGCUGCACACGUAAGUUACUAGUAUGAAUUAUCUUAUGAUCCCUUUGAGCCUGGGUGGCGGUCCAAAACAAAACAGGCAAGUCCUGAUAGACAUCAGGUGCCUCAAUUCACCCAGAUGUGUAUUUAAGUUGCCACCUUAGAUAAACCAUUAAUAUUAACAAUCUUACAUCUGUUAUGGAAUACACUCACCCAAUCCACGUCUACUAGCAUAGCAUAGCAUAAUAAGCAAUGUAGAAGUAACUCCCAAAGGUUUCAUAAGUAAAACAGGUAAUAGGUACUACCCCAAUCUACUUCCCAUCCCACAAUUUAAUUAGAUCCUAAUCAUGCAAUGUUUGAGGAUUGGUCUAAUGCAUAAAAACUGGGUUGUAGAAAAGUAUGAUCAAGUGUUACUUGCCUGCAAAUUUGAUGAAGACGAUUCGCACUCAAAACUCUUGAUAGAUCUAAUCGUCACACUCCGGUCAAUCUAUCGUAAGCAAACAAUAGUAGCCACACAAUAAGUACUCAUCUAAUGCACAAGUAAAACUCGAACGAGAGAACGAACCAGAAAGUUCAACUUAAGAACUCCGGUUGCAAAGAAAGAAGGAGCCGAACAAACGACGGAAAACAAACGGCGGAAGAAAACAACUCGGUUCUAGCAAGUUGAAACUAGGUCAAAUUUUACCAUAACAAAAACUUGUUCAAGUUGAUUAGACGGAACGGUGGUUUCGAGAUGAAACUCCAGGCGCUUGAAUCACCUGAUUCCGAUAAACGGGCGAGAAGAUAAACUAGAACGAAGAUCAGAUCUGAGAUCGCGAUUGCGGAAUAAAUCCGACGAGAAGAAAAAGAAGAACGGUUAUACGAACGGGCGUUCAUGAACCUAGAAGAAUCUGGUGAUCACGUUCGUUAGGACGAAUGGUCCGGCGAACGGUCCAAAGGCAACUAAAUCGGAAAAGAAAACGAAUCCGAUCUAGGGUUUCGGAGAAGAAAACCGAAACGAAAAACCGAUCUAGAAAACGAAUUAGAAGAGAAGAAAAGAAUCGGAAGGAUUAGAAGAAAACGAUCCGAGGAAAAGAGACGCGGGGCAACCUUGGCGAGGGGCUCCGACGAGGGGCUCCGGCGACGGCGUGGGCACAAGGGCGGCGGCGCAAGACGGCGGCGGUGCGGNNNNNNNNNNNNNNNNNNNNNNNNNNNNNNNNNNNNNNNNNNNNNNNNNNNNNNNNNNNNNNNNNNNNNNNNNNNNNNNNNNNNNNNNNNNNNNNNNNNNNNNNNNNNNNNNNNNNNNNNNNNNNNNNNNNNNNNNNNNNNNNNNNNNNNNNNNNNNNNNNNNNNNNNNNNNNNNNNNNNNNNNNNNNNNNNNNNNNNNNNNNNNNNNNNNNNNNNNNNNNNNNNNNNNNNNNNNNNNNNNNNNNNNNNNNNNNNNNNNNNNNNNNNNNNNNNNNNNNNNNNNNNNNNNNNNNNNNNNNNNNNNNNNNNNNNNNNNNNNNNNNNNNNNNNNNNNNNNNNNNNNNNNNNNNNNNNNNNNNNNNNNNNNNNNNNNNNNNNNNNNNNNNNNNNNNNNNNNNNNNNNNNNNNNNNNNNNNNNNNNNNNNNNNNNNNNNNNNNNNNNNNNNNNNNNNNNNNNNNNNNNNNNNNNNNNNNNNNNNNNNNNNNNNNNNGGGGCGGCGGCGCGGUGUGGUGCGGAGGAGAGGAGAGGAGAGGUGUUGGUUUGAUGUGUUAGAGGGGGGGUGCUUGGGUAUUUAUAUUGGGGAGGAGAGGGUUUUGCUUGGGGUAGGGGACAAAAAAUAGAUUAGGAUUAGGAAACAAGAGGAAAAGAUCUAGAAAUAGAUACGGAAUAAACGAACAUAGGACAAGAGUCCUACUAGGACUAGGAAAGAAAGGAAGCGGCGGCUCCCUGGUGCGCGCGCGCUAUGGCCUCUUGGCCGGCCGGCGGCUAGCGGCUUGGGCCUUUGACUCAAGGCGCUGUGGAUUUUUUUUUAAACGGUCUCGCGCGCAGAAAAAUAAAUAAAAGAAAAUCUAAACGAACUUCAAAAUUAAUAAAGUAAAUUUUCCCCGAUUCGUAAAAAUGAGCCGAAUAAAAUAAACUUUACUCGGGACCUAAAAAGCAAUUUUUGAAAACACACAUUUUUUCCCUAUCCAAAUAAAAUGCGAAUAAAACUCCGGCAAACAAAGUUUGAUCUAUUUAUUAAAUCUUCAUUUUCCUAAAUUUGGGAAAGUCAUAUUAUUCUCUCUCUUAUAUUUUUGAUAACGGAAAAAUAAUUGAAGAUGAAAUAAAUAAAUCAAAUGAUCCUCUUUUCAAUUCGAGAAAACUCUCAAAUAUGAAAAUAACGAAAUCUUCAACUCUCUCCAAGGGUCCUUGAGUUGCGUGAAAUUUCUAGGAUCGACCAAAAUGCAAGAAAAUAAAUAUGCAUGAUGAUCUAUUCUAAAUUGAAAAUAAAUUCAAAGGGGGCUUUGAAUUUAAUUCUUUGAAACUCCCAACUCAUAUUUCAUAUAAUUUGAAAAAGUCAUUUUAUCUUCUCUCUUGAAAAUCAUUGAGUCGCAUAGAGUUUUAGAAUUGGAAUAUUUUCCAAAUGAAAUUCAAAUAUUUUUCAAACACCCUUUUCAUUUUAAAUGGAAGAAGUCAUGUCAUCUUCUCUCUAGGGUUUUGUGUUUGAAAAGCAUUUGAAUUCACGGAGAGCAUAAAAUGCAAAAAUGAAAGUUUGGGAAAAUCCUUUUAUUCCCUCUCAUUUAACUUUCAAAAAGGUUUCGAAUUCACUCACUUUCAGACAGUCAAUCAAACAAUCAGUCAAAUCUAUCUAUUUAUUAUAACAUUCCAAAUUUUAGAAUUUUGGGAUGUUACAAACCUACCACCCUUAAAAUGAAUCUCGUCCUCGAGAUUCGGAGAGGCUAGCAAGAAAAGGUUAGGGUUUAGGGGUCUCCUCAAAAUCCAUCAAUCGUCUCCGGGGUCUGGGAUGCUACCACCCUUAGAAACAUCGUUACAACUCCAUCAAUACUCAUAUACUCCGUCCAUAUUGUUAACAGUGUCGGUCUUCUCAAAUCCUCGAGAAAAUUCCUUCUCUGAGCUCUUCCGAUAGUGGCAUAACCUUUUCCUCAAUUCUUCUGUCCUUUCAUCUGGGCAAGGUUAUUCCGAAACUGGGUCUUCUUAGCUGACGGUCUGGCGCCAAGACUAAACAACUAUCGAUAUCUCCUGGUGGUCAACAAUUUGUGGUUUCUCCUGCAGGAAAUGGGUCUUGGUUGAUCCUCACCGUAUAACCUACGGUUGGCACAACUGCCGUGUACAAGGGAAAAAUACCUAUACCAUUCUAAGGCUUAAACAAGGUUUUGAUCGUCGUCUCUCCACUAUAGGUAAGUCUCUCAGAUUUACCAUCCCAUAUAGCAAGGCGAAUAAUAAGAGUAAGUCGGUAUGGUGAUCAAUCCAUCCCGCACCCAAAUCAUUACCAUGUAUACAGUUUAGCGAAUCUCGCAUAUUAACACUCGGUCAACCUCACAAGCAUUGCAGAAUUUCUCUUGUCGACGAACCAAGUUCGAAUAAAUCCAUAGAUUCUGCAAGCCAAACAACCAUCUAUCGUUCCUUCACAACUCUCAGGUUUUGCGUAACUCCUAUAAGAUCGUUUGUCGAUAAACGUCGUAUCUUCCUCCGGGUUUUUUUUUCCUUCAGCAAGAGUGUGCUUGCUUCUUGGCAGGUCCUGGGGCCUGUGGGUUAUGGCCCAUCUCAUCACUUGUAAUCCUUGAACUCAUCUUCGGGCAACUGAUCAUUAGUCCAACUUCCAACUUCCUAGUAUUCUUAAUUCCAUCCAAUCGUAUGGACUUUCUUCCUUUGGCACCAAACUAGGACAUGUUUACUCAGACUCAUCAUGGAAUUUUCCAUUGAUCCAUAUUUCCGACAUCAUACCUCCUUUAUCUCAAAUAGUAAUCCAUCUCUUCAUCCUCGUGGGUUAUUCCACAUACCGAGAAAAAAAACUUAUACUUAUGACGUCCAUAUUCCACUUCGUGGAACAUCAUUAUCCUUUCCGCGGUCAAGCGUCCUUACAGGGGAAUAUUGGCCAUCUCUGCAUUGCACUUCUUCAACUGGGAACCGUGAAAUGCAUCCUCCUGACAGUCCUUCCGGUAACUCAAACUUUGUAGGCCAUUUCUCUCAUAUGCUCCAAAACUCGGUAUGGUCCUACAAACCUCGGGGCUAACUGUCCCUUAACUCCAAAUCGUUUAACUCCUCGCAGAGGGAACACAUGAAGACAUGCUCUAUUCUCCAAUUUCAUAGACUUCCUCCUUGAGUUUUUAAGUCUGCGUAACUCUUCUACUUGGACUGAGCUACCUUCAGUCUAUCUCAAAUCAACUUAACAUUCUCUUCUGACUCCUUGAUCACAUUUGGUCCAAACAACUGACAGUCUCCAUCUUCAUCCCACACACUCUUGGGCAUCACACAUAUCGAGGCAAAACUCGUAUUCAUUUUUGUCCGAAAUCCAUUACAGGGUACUACCACCCUUAAAAUGCACAAAUCUUCCAUAGACCAUAUUUCUCUUAUCCUCAAAAUGGCCAAAAUUCUUCUUCAUAGAGUAACAACUCAUAAAAUCCAUAUCUUUACCAACGGUGCUAACUUUAUUGCUUCUCAAAUCAUUACAAUCUCCUGUUUUUCCAUUACAUGCCUCAACUCAACACCUCAAUACAAAAGAAAAUGUUCUCACUUCUACUACUCCAUUUCUUUUGUUGCAAACUCAACUAUCUAGCACAAGUUUCCUUCUCCUUGGGGCAUUCUCUGGCAAAGUGCCCUGCUUCAUUACAACGGAAACAUAUUACUUCUGGGAAGAUUCGAGGUUUCCUUGUGAUUAUAUAGCCUACUUGGGUCCUUGGCUUCCUUUUUGGGCAAUCAUUGAAGUAAUGUCCUGAAUUUUUGCACCUGAAACAUGUGAUAUGACUCAGGUCUUUCCUGGAAUCCAAUCUACGUCUCUUUCUGGAUUUUUCCAUUUCAACCAGAGCUUCUAUUUCCAGUGGGUCAUACUCUACUUCCUCUGUCGGGAAUUCUACUAAAUUCCCAUUCAUACAAUUCUGGGAGAUGUGUCCUUCUUCUCCACAUGAAUAGCAUGACUUAGUGCAGGGUUUAAUUGGCUCUUCUUUGGGUGUGUCCUCCACCUCUUUCUUCAUCACAGGUUCUUCUAAACCUUCCAUGAGGGCUCCUUUCAUUGCUUCUUCCUUCAGCUGGAUGGUUCGUUGUACCAUGGGGUAAAUGUGACACUGAGCAGGGUAGUGGGUAGUCCCUUCACACAAGAAACAAAUGAUCUGCCUAGUUGGGCAUUCUUCAGCUGGGUGACUUACUUCACAAUUAGGGCAUUCAUCCUUGUGUUCUUUAUGGUUGUGUCCUAUUUCACCACAGAGCUUGCAUGCACAAGGUUUCUUUAUAUCAUUUCCAUAGGGCUUCAACUUCUGGGACACAAACUGAGACUUUAGCAAAGUCAACUUAAAUUCUUUCCAAGUGGUUACUCCUUGCCAUCCAUUCAUGGUUUGGUACAUCCUCCACCAAGUAGCAGCACCUCUUUCAAAGCACUGAAGAGCAUGCUGGGCCAUAUCCUUUCUGACUAUAGGGUUGUUCUCCAUAUGAUCCUCCAUGUUCUGAAUCCAUCGGUCUGUCUCCAAUUGACCCAUCGGUCCAAAAACUAUAAGCUCAUCUCCAUUCAUCCUCUAUUGGGUCCAUGGGUUUGGGGUGAGAUAAGAGAGAUAGAGAGGGAUACACACAAUACAAACAAAUUUUUUGAAAAGAUAGAUUUUUGUUGUGGCUGUCGAAAAACAUUAAACAAAUGACAGCUCACAAUCGUCGCAUCUAACGUAGGUAUAUAACAGGGGUUUGGUCUUCUAAGGUCAACGUCGUCAAACUCUUCAAGUCUUUGUUCAUGCCUCCAAUGGCUUCUUCCGAUCAUGCUUGUCUUCUCAAGUUCUUUUGCCAGAUCAAUCUCUGUUGACGUGAAAUCUCUCGUGACAUCCUUUAAUAUUCCGGAGUUGCAUUUCAAACUUCUGGGUUUCAUUAUCCUUGGCAUGAACCAUGGUCCUACUGUCCUUCAGUUCCUGACGAAUCUCCUGUAUCUCAAGGUUGUAGCUCCUCCAUCUUGGCUACUUUCAACUUUUGGUUCCUGAGUUCCUCAUGAAAUACUUCCUUGUCUAAUAUGCUUUAAUGGAGCUCCACCUUAAACUUCUUUAUGUACUACUCCAGAUCCUGGUGAUACACCGGCCAAGGUUAAAACUUCAUCUUACUAAUAGGUGCUCCAUCAGCCUUCUUCCAUCAAAUCCAUUCUGAAGAAAUGCAUCCUUAACUCAGCACGGUGACAGUAGCAUCAGCGGGCGAUGAUAUCACUGAUAACCGUGUUUCUGCUCUUGUCAUUGCCAUGAGCUAUCUUGCCAGUUGAUAUCUCCUGCCUUAGGGUUUCUUUGACAAAUCCUUGAGUUCUCCAUUCUCCAUGUUUUGGUCUUUCUCCGAUACACCUUGAUAUCGGGUAUUGACAACUUCCAUAGUCUGCCAAGUUCCAUAAGGGUAGCAGUCCUAGGUCAUACAAAUCUGGGGAUUCUUCAGAGCCUUCAAAUUCUACUUGUCUUCAGAGUCUUCAACAGCUGUAGUUUCCAUUAUCAUAAUGUAUGGUAAAAUCCUCUUCAUUUCGAAUGGUCUUACUUGUCUGAUAUCCUGUACUUCUUGGAGUGGUCUCCUCAGUCGAAUCCUCGAGUGGUCAAAAGGGGAAAGGGGUAUGGUCUCACUAAAGGGAAUAUUUGAAUAAGCUCAGAAGAGAAAAGAGGUAAAAGAUCUUUUUGAAAGGGAAAGUUGUAGAGAAAAAUCUUUCCUACUGGCUUGUCAGUUUCUAGGGUCACGUCCUACAGUCAACAUGUGCUCUGAUACCAUCUCUGUAGCGACCCGACCCGAAUGGAUCAAGUCUCUGUGCUUAUGUGUCAUCCCUGGAUCAGUAUGCUGACACACACAGUACUCGAAGGAUUUAUAAUAGAGGUAAAUCACAUGUAUAAGUAACGUAAAUACUAUUACCUCAAUCCAAUAAUAUAGCAGAAGCAACAAGGUUGUGGAUUCCCAUCAACACUAACGGCAGAGUUGAGUAUAGGAAAUCGUAACCCUAACGUAUCACUUACUCGUCGUCUGAAAAGUCUGCAACAUGAAAAGUUGCAGCCCGAAAACGGGUCAGCACAUGGAAUAUGCUGGCAAGGUAACACAUAGAGAGUAAUGAAAGAAUAAGCUAUACUACAUGCAUGUAUGGCUGGUGGAAAGCUCUAUGGUUACAGUUUUGCGAAAAGCCAGUUUUUCCCUACUGCAAAGGAAUACAUUUAUUUAACUAUCAUGGUGGUUGUGAAACAUUGAGAAUGGUUGACAGCAUUCUCAAUCCCAAUUAAAAGUACACAUUAAAAACCAACAAUAUUAAUUAGAGGUAACAUGUUGAGAUUCAACAGGAUAAUCCAAGUACUAGAUACUCAAGAUGUCCAUAACCGGGGACACGGCUAAUCAUGAUUAGUUUGUACACUCUGCAGAGGUUUGCGCACUUUUCCCCACAAGACUCGAUCGCCUCCGUUUGGUUCCUCGCACUACAUGGUGUUUGAGAAACGGAUGACCGAGACACAGUCUUUCAGAAGCGCUAGCACCUUACAUGUGGGUAGACCUGUACACCUACAUCCCCUACAUCUGCUAGCCUACCCGUAAGAGUUCGCACAACUUACUCCACUAUGCCAGAGCCCAUAAUGGCUUGUGGCUGCACACGUAAGUUACUAGUAUGAAUUAUCUUAUGAUCCCUUUGACCCUGGGUGGCGGUCCAAAACAAAACAGGCAAGUCCUGAUAGACAUCAGGUGCCUCAAUCCACCCAGAUGUGUAUUUAAGUUGCCACCUUAGAUAAACCAUUAAAAUUAACAAUCUCACAUCUGUCAUGGAAUACACUCACCCAAUCCACGUCUACUAGCAUAGCAUAGCAUAAUAAGCAACGUAGAAGUAACUCCCAAAGGUUUCAUAAGUAAAACAGGUAAUAGGUACUACCUCAAUCUACUUCCCAUCCCACAAUUUAAUUAGAUCCUAAUCAUGCAAUGUUUGAGGAUUGGUCUAAUGCAUAAAAACUGGGUUGUAGAAAAGUAUGAUCAAGUGUUACUUGCCUGCAAAUUUGAUGAAGACGAUUCGCACUCAAAACUCUUGAUAGAUCUAAUCGUCACACUCCGGUCAAUCUAUCGUAAGCAAACAAUAGUAACUACACAAUAAGUACUCAUCUAAUGCACAAGUAAAACUCGAACGAGAGAACGAACCAGAAAGUUCAACUUAAGAACUCCGGUUGCAAAGAAAGAACGAACCGAACAAACGACGGAAAACAAACGGCGGAAGAAAACAACUCGGUUCUAGCAAGUUGAAACUAGGUCAAAUUUUACCAUAACAAAAACUCUCUCUGUAGCGACCCGACCCGAAUGGAUCAAGUCUCUGUGCUUAUGUGUCAUCCCUGGAUCAGUAUGCUGACACACGCAGUACUCGAAGGAUUUAUAACAGAGGUAAAUCACAUGUAUAAGUAACGUAAAUACUAUUACCUCAAUCCAAUAAUAUAGCGGAAGCAACAAGGUUGUGGAUUCCCAUCAACACCAACGGCAGAGUUGAGUAUAGGAAAUCGUAACCCUAACGUAUCACUUACUCGUCGUCUGAAAAGUCUGCAACAUGAAAAGUUGUAGCCCGAAAACGGGUCAGCACAUGGGAUAUGCUGGCAAGGUAACACAUAGAGAGUAAUGAAAGAAUAAGCUAUACUACAUGCAUGUAUGGCUGGUGGAAAGCUCUAUGGUUACAGUUUUGUGAAAAGCCGGUUUUUCCCUACUGCAAAGGAAUACAUUUAUUUAACUAUCAUGGUGGUUGUGAAACAUUGAGAAUGGUUGACAGCAUUCUCAAUCCCAAUUAAAAGUACACAUUAAAAACCAACAAUAUUAAUUAGAGGUAACAUGUUGAGAUUCAACAGGAUAAUCCAAGUACUAGAUACUCAAGAUGUCCAUAACCGGGGACACGGCUAAUCAUGAUUAGUUUGUACACUCUGCAGAGGUUUGCGCACUUUCCCCCACAAGACUCGAUCGCCUCCGUUUGGUUCCUCGCACUACAUGGUGUUUGAGAAACGGAUGACCGAGACACAGUCUUUCAGAAGCGCUAGCACCUUACAUGUGGGUAGACCUGUACACCUACAUCCCCUACAUCUGCUAGCCUACCCGUAAGAGUUCGCACAACUUACUCCACUAUGCCAGAGCCCAUAAUGGCUUGUGGCUGCACACGUAAGUUACUAGUAUGAAUUAUCUUAUGAUCCCUUUGAGCCUGGGUGGCGGUCCAAAACAAAAUAGGCAAGUCCUGAUAGACAUCAGGUGCCUCAAUCCACCCAGAUGUGUAUUUAAGUUGCCACCUUAGAUAAACCAUUAAAAUUAACAAUCUCACAUCUGUCAUGGAAUACACUCACCCAAUCCACGUCUACUAGCAUAGCAUAGCAUAAUAAGCAACGUAGAAGUAACUCCCAAAGGUUUCAUAAGUAAAACAGGUAAUAGGUACUACCUCAAUCUACUUCCAAUCCCACAAUUUAAUUAGAUCCUAAUCAUGCAAUGUUUGAGGAUUGGUCUAAUGCAUAAAAACUGGGUUGUAGAAAAGUAUGAUCAAGUGUUACUUGCCUGCAAAUUUGAUGAAGACGAUUCGCACUCAAAACUCUUGAUAGAUCUAAUCGUCACACUCCGGUCAAUCUAUCGUAAGCAAACAAUAGUAACCACACAAUAAGUACUCAUCUAAUGCACAAGUAGAACUCGAACGAGAGAACGAACCAGAAAGUUCAACUUAAGAACUCCGGUUGCAAAGAAAGAACGAACCGAACAAACGACGGAAAACAAACGGCGGAAGAAAACAACUCGGUUCUAGCAAGUUGAAACUAGGUCAAAUUUUACCAUAAAUAAAACUCUCUCUGUAGCGACCCGACCCGAAUGGAUCAAGUCUCUGUGCUUAUGUGUCAUCCCUGGAUCAGUAUGCUGACACACACAGUACUCGAAGGAUUUAUAACAGAGGUAAAUCACAUGUAUAACUAACAUAAAUACUAUUACCUCAAUCCAAUAAUAUAGCGGAAGCAACAAGGUUGUGGAUUCCCAUCAACACCAACGGCAGAGUUGAGUAUAGGAAAUCGUAACCCUAACGUAUCACUUACUCGUCGUCUGAAAAGUCUGCAACAUGAAAAGUUGCAGCUCGAAAACGGGUCAGCACAUGGGAUAUGCUGGCAAGGUAACACAUAGAGAGUAAUGAAAGAAUAAGCUAUACUACAUGCAUGUAUGGCUGGUGGAAAGCUCUAUGGUUACAGUUUUGCGAAAAGCCGGUUUUUCCCUACUGCAAAGGAAUACAUUUAUUUAACUAUCAUGGUGGUUGUGAAACAUUGAGAAUGGUUGACAGCAUUCUCAAUCCCAAUUAAAAGUACACAUUAAAAACCAACAAUAUUAAUUAGAGGUAACAUGUUGAGAUUUAAUAGGAUAAUCCAAGUACUAGAUACUCAAGAUGUCCAUAACCGGGGACACGGCUAAUCAUGAUUAGUUUGUACACUCUGCAGAGGUUUGCGCACUUUUUCCCACAAGACUCGAUCGCCUCCGUUUGGUUCCUCGCACUACAUGGUGUUUGAGAAACGGAUGACCGAGACACAGUCUUUCAGAAGCGCUAGCACCUUACAUGUGGGUAGACCUGUACACCUACAUCCCCUACAUCUGCUAGCCUACCCGUAAGAGUUCGCACAACUUACUCCACUAUGCCAGAGCCCAUAAUGGCUUGUGGCUGCACACGUAAGUUACUAGUAUGAAUUAUCUUAUGAUCCCUUUGAGCCUGGGUGGCGGUCCAAAACAAAAUAGGCAAGUCCUGAUAGACAUCAGGUGCCUCAAUCCACCCAGAUGUGUAUUUAAGUUGCCACCUUAGAUAGACCAUUAAAAUUAACAAUCUCACAUCUGUCAUGGAAUACACUCACCCAAUCCACGUCUACUAGCAUAGCAUAGCAUAAUAAGCAACGUAGAAGUAACUCCCAAAGGUUUCAUAAGUAAAACAGGUAAUAGGUACUACCUCAAUCUACUUCCCAUCCCACAAUUUAAUUAGAUCCUAAUCAUGCAAUGUUUGAGGAUUGGUCUAAUGCAUAAAAACUGGGUUGUACAAAAGUAUGAUCAAGUGUUACUUUCCUGCAAAUUUGAUGAAGAUGAUUCGCACUCAAAACUCUUGAUAGAUCUAAUCGUCACACUCCGAUCAAUCUAUCGUAAGCAAACAAUAGUAACCACACAAUAAGUACUCAUCUAAUGCACAAGUAAAACUCGAAUGAGAGAACGAACCAGAAAGUUCAACUUAAGAACUCCGGUUGCAAAGAAAGAACGAAUCGAACAAACGACGGAAAACAAACGGCGGAAGAAAACAACUCGGUUCUAGCAAGUUGAAACUAGGUCAAAUUUUACCAUAACAAAAACUUGUUCAAGUUGAUUAGACGGAACGGCGGUUUCGAGAUGAAACUCCAGGUGCUUGAAUCACCUGAUUCCGAUAAACGGGCGAGAAGAUAAACUAGAACGAAGAUCGGAUCUGAGAUCGCGAUCGCGGAAUAAAUCCGACGAGAAGAAAAAGAAGAACGGUUAUACGAACGGGCGUUCGUGAACCUAGAAGAAUCCGGUGAUCACGUUCGUUAGGACGAACGGUCCGGCGAACGGUCCAAAGGCAACUAAAUCGGAAAAGAAAACGAAUCCGAUCUAGGGUUUCGGAGAAGAAAACCGAAACGAAAAACCGAUCUAGAAAACGAAUUAGAAGAGAAGAAAAGAAUCGGAAGGAUUAGAAGAAAACGAUCCGAGGAAAAGAGACGCGGGGCAACCUUGGCGAGGGGCUCCGACGAGGGGCUCCGACGACGGCGUGGGCACAAGGGCGGCGGCGCAUGACGGCGGCGGCGCGGGUGAGGCGGCGGCGCUAGGGCGGUGGCGAACGGUGGCGAUGGCGGCGGCGGCGCGGGUGUGGGGUGGCGGCGCAGGGUGGGGCGGCGGCGCGGUGUGGUGCGGAGGAGAGGAGAGGAGAGGUGUUGGUUUGAUGUGUUAGAGAGGGGGGGUGCUUGGGUAUUUAUAUUGGGAAGGGGAGGGUUUUGCUUGGGGUAGGGGACAAGAAAUAGAUUAGAAUUAGGAAACAAGAGGAAAAGAUCUAGAAAUAGAUACGGAAUAAACGAACAUAGGGCAAGAGUCCUACUAGGACUAGGAAAGAAAGGAAGCGGCGGCUCCCUGGUGCGCGCGCGCUAUGGCCUCUUGGCCGGCCGGCGGCUAGCGGCUUGGGCCUUUGGCCCAAGGUGCUGCGAAUUUUUUUUUAAACGGUCUCGCGCGCAGAAAAAUAAAUAAAAGAAAAUCUAAACGAACUUCAAAAUUAAUGAAGUAAAUUUUCCCCGACUCGUAAAAAUGAGCCGAACAAAAUAAACUUUACUCGGGACCUAAAAAGCAAUUUUUGAAAACACGCAUUUUUUCCCUAUCCAAAUAAAAUGCGAAUAAAACUCCGGCAAACAAAGUUUGAUCUAUUUAUUAAAUCUUCAUUUUCCUAAAUUUGGGAAAGUCAUAUUAUUCCCUCCCUUAUAUUUUUGAUAACGGAAAAAUAAUUGAAGAUGAAAUAAAUAAAUCAAAUGAUCCUCUUUUCAAUUCGAGAAAACUCUCAAAUAUGAAAAUAACGAAAUCUCCAACUCUCUCCAAGGGUCCUUGAGUUGCGUGAAAUUUCUAGGAUCGACCAAAAUGCAAGAAAAUAAAAUAUGCAUGAUGAUCUAUUCCAAAUUGAAAAUAAAUUCAAAGGGGGCUUUGAAUUUAAUUUUUUGAAACUCCCAACUCAUAUUUCAUAUAAUUUGAAGAAGUCAUUUUAUCUUCUCUCGUGAAAAUCAUUAAGUCGCAUAGAGUUUUAGAAUUGGAAUAUUUUCCAAAUGAAAUUCAAAUAUUUUUCAAACACCCUUUUCAUUUUAAAUGGAAGAAGUCAUGUCAUCUUCUCUCUAGGGUUUUGUGUUUGAAAAGCAUUUGAAUUCACGGAGAGCAUAAAAUGCAAAAAUGAAAGUUUGGGAAAGUCCUUUUAUUCCCUCUCAUUUAACUUUCAAAAAGGUUUCGAAUUCACUCACUUUCAGACAGUCAAUCAAACAAUCAGUCAAAUCUAUCUAUUUAUUAUAACAUUCCAAAAUUUAGAAUUUUGGGAUGUUACACUUCAUGUUCCCACAAAUCGUGUGUAUAUUUCACAUGAUGUUAUCUUUGAUGAGCAUGUUUUUCCUUUCUCUAAUCUUCCCACUCCUGUCACCACACCCGCCGAACCAGUGCAUUCAUCUCCUUUAUUGCCUGAUCAAUUUGUAGAUGUUGCACACUCGCCUCUUUUGUUGUCUAACCAUGGUGCAGGAACUAGUAGAGGUGCCCGGCUUGUUCUCUUGGAGGACUCCCCCGCUGCUCCGACGGUUUCUUUGACGGAUCAUGUCGAUCCUGCCGCUGCGACUCCCUGCAUGGGGCAUCCAGGGUCCCCUUCGCUCACGCCCGCUACGCACUUGGACCCGGCUCCGGUAGCGGCGGGCUCGCCCUCGAUGGUUCACAUCGAUCCCGCACCGCCUCCUCCCUGCAUGGGCCAUGCAGGGUCGUCUGCCCCCGCACCCGCUACGCGGGAGGACCCGACUCCGCUGUUGCUGGAGCUUCCCGCGUCCCCUGGGCUGGACUCGCCCGCGACUGGGCUGGCCUCGCCUGUGUCAACCAGUCAGGGGACGCCCGCCCCAUUGGGUCGCCUCCUGACAGCCCGUCCUCGCCGCAGUCUCCCUCUGCUGGACGUCACCUGCUGCCACCACCACUUGCUUCUUCUUCUCCGGAGACGCGGGCCACUCCACUGAUGGUUCCUGCACCCUCGAUCCCGCCAAUGGCUCCUGUUGCUCAUCGUCCACACACUCGCAGCAAGAGUGGUAUUGUUCUUCCGUGAAAACGCACCGAUGGCACGGUUGCAUGGCUUGCGGCUUGCAUCGCUCAUUCUGAAACUGAUCCUUCCGUUGAACCUCGUCAUUAUCAGGCAGCUAUGGGUAUCCCUCACUAGCAUUCUGCGAUGGAACAAGAGUAUCAGGCAUUGCUGAAAAAUGGUACGUGGCGUCUUGUUCCUCUGAAGAGUGGUGCCAAUAUUAUUGACUCUAAAUGGGUAUUCAAAGUUAAGCGACAUGCUGAUGGCUCUAUUGAACGGUAUAAGGUUCGACUUGUUGCUCGUGGGUUCAAACAACGUCAAGGCCUUGAUUAUGAUGAUACCUUCAGUCCUAUGAUCAAGCCUACGACUAUUCGUCUGCUUUUGUCUCUUGCUGUUACUCGUGGAUGGUUUCUUCGACAGCUCGAUGUUCAGAAUGAUUUUCUCCAUGGAGUUUUUGAUGAAGAGGUCUAUAUGCGUCAGCUGCCUGGGUUUGUUGAUCCUGCUCGUCCGCAUCAUUUGUGUCGUCUCGUCAAGGCUUUUUAUGGUCUCAAACAGGCGCCUCAUGCCUGGCAUGCGCGUCUUGGUUCUGCUCUUCGCGCACAUGGAUUUGUCCCUUCGACCGCUGAUACGUCUUUGUUCAUGCUACAGCGCCCUACGGUCACUAUGUACCUAAUGGUGUAUGUCGAUGACAUCAUCUUGAUCAGCUCGUCAGCCUUUGCUGCGGAUCGUCUUGUUUCUGCUUUGAGUGGUGACUGCUAUUACAGAUCUUGGUCGGCUUCAUUAUUUCCUUGGUUUGGAGGUCUCUCAUUCUGAUGCCGGUCUGACUCUCACUCAGCAGAAAUAUUCUCUGGAUUUGCUUCAUCGUGCUGGUAUGCUCCAAUGCAAAGCCUGCUACUACUCCCAUGACAACUUAUGGUCGCCUCUCUGCACUUGAUGGUACUCUUCUUCCGUCGGAUGAGGCUACAACGUAUCGCAGUAUUGUUGGUGGCUUACAGUAUUUGACGAUCACUCGUCCUGAUAUCUCCUAUACGGUUAACAGUGUAUACCAGUUUCUUCAUGCUCCUCGAGAUACUCACUGGACUGCUGUCAAACGCAUUCUGUGCUAUGUUUGUUUCACUGCUGCUCUGGGUCUGCAUCUUCGGUCUGCUCCUUCUGGUAGCCUCUCGGCUUUUUUUGAUGCUGAUUGGGCUGGUAGCCCGGAUGACAGGCAAUCUAUGAGGGGAUAUGCAGUGUUCUAUGGUCCUAAUUUGAUCGCCUGGAGUGCUCGUAAACAGGCUACAGUAUUGUGUAGUAGUACUGAAGCUGAAUAAAAGUACUGGCAAUGCCACUGCUAAGUGAUUUGGGUUCAGUCCUUACUUCGAGAGUUGUGGGUCUCUCAGAUUCAUCCUCCUGUUCUUUGGUGUGACAACAUCGGUGCUACGUACCUUUCUUUAAAUUCGGUAUUUCAUAACCGAACAAAACACAUCAAAGUUGACUAUCAUUUUGUCAGAGAACGACUUUCACAGAAGUUACUUCAGAUCAAGUUUAUUUCUUCUAAAGAUCAACUUGCUGAUAUCUUCACGAAGCCGUUGCCAUUGCCUCAGUUUGAGGGUUGUCGUCGCAAUCUUAAUUUUCUGAAAUCUCCAUUGCCUCAGUUUGAGGGUUGUCGUCGCAAUCUUAAUUUUCUGAAAUCUUCAGACCACGGUUAGGUUGAGAGAGGGUGUUAGACUUGUAGUUAUACGUAAAUACGCAUUACAACUUGUAUACAGUUGUAUUUGUACUCAAAGAGAUUUUCCUCCACAUAUAUAUAUAUAUAUAUAUAUAUAUAUAUAUAUAUAUAUAUAUAUAUAUAUAUUUUGUCGUGGCCGACCCAUGAGGUGUCGAAGUCCACAAUACCCCAAAACCUUUUGCUUAACAGGGUUCAAGGAUCAUCGCUACUCUUUUGGAUCCGGAAGGCAAAAAGUGACUUCAGGCGAAGGACAAGGAGCUCAACACGUGAAAAGAGAGUGUAGCCGCGCCGAAUGAUUCAUUCUUGUAUCAGUAUGAAUUAUCGUAUUUUCUUCUGGCACGUUUAUUUUGUUGCACAAUUAACCAACGCAAUAUCACGAACCCGUAACAGAUGAGGAUACUAUAUUGCACUGGAAACUUAUUACACAAACGGAGCAAACAUCACCUAGGAGAUACUAUAGGGGCAACCAUGCACAGCAAGGCCACCCUCCAUUAUUAACCAAAAGUACCACACACUAUACAUACAUAUAUAGCGAUAAACCAUAGCUGCAAGUGUUGGAUUUAAAGGAUUUGAAGCAGCUGCUUUGGCGGCGGCGGCUAGUAGUCCUCCGGCGCGAGCGGCUGGUGGGCGUGGGCGGCGGUCUCGGUAGACGGCAUGACGAC